UGAAUCAGAAAAUUGAGCGUUUCAUAUUUCGCCUGAUCCUACUAGCGCCAUCAUGCUGCGAUCUCAUUAUUAGAAGUUGUCUUCUGGAUCGCUAUGAACAAUUUGCAAUCAAAUGCAUCAAUACUUAAAGACAAU